rnacentral:rRNA from 1 species
AGAAUCAACGCUGGCGGCGUGCCUAACACAUGCAAGUCGAACGAGAAAGUGGAGCAAUCCAUGAGUAAAGUGGCGCACGGGUGAGUAACACGUGACUAACCUACCCUUGAGUGGGGAAUAACUUCGGGAAACCGAGGCUAAUACCGCAUAACACCUACGGGUCAAAGGAGCAAUUCGCUUAAGGAGGGGGUCGCGGCAGAUUAGUUAGUUGGCGGGGUAAUGGCCCACCAAGACAGUGAUCUGUAU